GGAUAAGCGCUGAAAGCAUCUAAGCGCCAAGCCCACCCCAAGAUGAGGUAUCCCACGGAGUCAGUCCGGUAAGACCCCAGGGAGACUACCUGGUAGAUAGGCCGGGGGUGUAAGCGCGGUAACGCGUUUAGCUGAUCGGUACUAAUAGGUCGAGGCCUCGACUCU
rnacentral:rRNA from 1 species